AGUUUGAUCAUGGCUCAGGACGAACGCUGGCGGCGUGCUUAACACAUGCAAGUCGAACGAUGAAGCCUAGCUUGCUAGGUGGAUUAGUGGCGAACGGGUGAGUAAUACGUGAGUAACCUACCUUUAACUCUGGGAUAAGCCUGGGAAACUGGGUCUAAUACCGGAUACGACCAAUCUCCGCAUGGGGUGUUGGUGGAAAGCGUUAUGUAGUGGUUAUAGAUGGGCUCACGGCCUAUCAGCUUGUUGGUGAGGUAACGGCUCACCAAGGCGACGACGGGUAGCCGGCCUGAGAGGGUGACCGGCCACACUGGGACUGAGACACGGCCCAGACUCCUACGGGAGGCAGCAGUGGGGAAUAUUGCACAAUGGGCGCAAGCCUGAUGCAGCGACGCCGCGUGAGGGAUGACGGCCUUCGGGUUGUAAACCUCUGUUAGCAGGGAAGAAGAGAGAUUGACGGUACCUGCAGAGAAAGCGCCGGCUAACUACGUGCCAGCAGCCGCGGUAAUACGUAGGGCGCGAGCGUUGUCCGGAAUUAUUGGGCGUAAAGAGCUUGUAGGCGGUUUGUCGCGUCUGCUGUGAAAGGCCGGAGCUUAACUCCGUGUAUUGCAGUGGGUACGGGCAGACUAGAGUGCAGUAGGGGAGACUGGAAUUCCUGGUGUAGCGGUGGAAUGCGCAGAUAUCAGGAGGAACACCGAUGGCGAAGGCAGGUCUCUGGGCUGUAACUGACGCUGAGAAGCGAAAGCAUGGGGAGCGAACAGGAUUAGAUACCCUGGUAGUCCAUGCCGUAAACGUUGGGCGCUAGGUGUGGGGAACAUUCCACGUUUUCCGCGCCGUAGCUAACGCAUUAAGUGCCCCGCCUGGGGAGUACGGCCGCAAGGCUAAAACUCAAAGAAAUUGACGGGGGCCCGCACAAGCGGCGGAGCAUGCGGAUUAAUUCGAUGCAACGCGAAGAACCUUACCAAGGCUUGACAUAUACUGGACCGCAUCAGAGAUGGUGUUUCCCUUCGGGGCUGGUAUACAGGUGGUGCAUGGUUGUCGUCAGCUCGUGUCGUGAGAUGUUGGGUUAAGUCCCGCAACGAGCGCAACCCUCGUUCUAUGUUGCCAGCACGUUAUGGUGGGGACUCAUAGGAGACUGCCGGGGUCAAACUCGGAGGAAGGUGGGGAUGACGUCAAAUCAUCAUGCCCCUUAUGUCUUGGGCUUCACGCAUGCUACAAUGGCCGGUACAGAGGGUUGCGAUACUGUGAGGUGGAGCUAAUCCCUAAAAGCCGGUCUCAGUUCGGAUUGGGGUACUGCAAACUCGACCCCGUGAAGUCGGAGUCGCUAGUAAUCGCAGAAUCAGCAAACGCUGCGGUGAAAUACGUUUCCCGGGCCUUGCACACACCGCCCGUCAAG
rnacentral:rRNA from 1 species